rnacentral:rRNA from 1 species
CAAUAGCGUAUAUUAAAGUUGUUGCAGUUAAAAAGCUCGUAGUUGGAUUUGUGGCGUACGGUGUGUUCCGGGCACUUGUUGUCUGAGUAACCUGCUGUUGCCAUCCUUGGGUGGAACCUGUGUGGCAUUAGGUUGUCGUGCAGGGGAUGCCCAUCAUUUACUGUGAAAAAAUUAGAGUGUUCAAAGCAGGCUUAUGCCGUUGAAUAUAUUAGCAUGGAAUAAUGAGAUAGGACUUUUUUGCUAUUUUGCUGGUUUGCGCAAAGAGGUAAUGAUUAAUAGGGACAGUUGGGGGUAUUCGUAUUCCAUUGUCAGAGGUGAAAUUCUUGGAUUUUUGGAAGACGAACUACUGCGAAAGCAUUUACCAAGGAUGUUUUCAUUAA